AAUUUAUGGUGCGGGCGCUUUUGAAUUAUUGUUUUGAAGCAGUCCCACGCCUCAUAGAAAAUUUCCCCUUUCAUCUGUCUAAAGAUAGCAAUCUCUCUUCUUAGUU
rfam:Gossypium arboreum cultivar AKA8401 contig_2981_13, whole genome shotgun sequence.